UACGUAGGGUGCAAGCGUUGUCCGGAAUUAUUGGGCGUAAAGGGCUCGUAGGCGGUCUGUCACGUCGGGAGUGAAAACUCAGGGCUUAACCCUGAGCCUGCUUCCGAUACGGGCAGACUAGAGGUAUGCAGGGGAGAACGGAAUUCCUGGUGUAGCGGUGAAAUGCGCAGAUAUCAGGAGGAACACCGGUGGCGAAGGCGGUUCUCUGGGCAUUACCUGACGCUGAGGAGCGAAAGCGUGGGUAGCGAACAGG
rnacentral:rRNA from 1 species